GUAGACACAUUCCAGCCAAUCAGCAGCAGACCCUCCCUCCCAGACCCUCCCACCUCCUGGACAGCUCACUAAAAAUGCAGCUUCACAAUGAAUGUAAAAUGGAUGCUGUCCAGGAGGUGGGAGGGUCUGGGAGGGAGGGUCUGCUGCUGAUUGGCUGGAAUGUGUCUG
rnacentral:miRNA from 1 species